CUCGCCCCCGGGGAAACACACGAGAAAAUCCCAGGUAACCGUAUGUGAAACGUGAAUUAGACAGCUGUCAAAGUCCUCUGUAGGAGAAGAUGGAGUACUCAUAUAUGUGGUGCGCGAAAGGGCAUCAGAGAGCUUACGGAAGAGAGGAAAGAGAGGGGUUUGGCAGCCGGGCGAAUGGAUUUGGAUGUAGAAUGGAAGGCAAGGUAAUAGUAGAAGAGAGGCGGACGAGGACGACAAGAUCGGGGCGAGAGAAACGGAGAGCCGAUGGAAAAGGGGACAAAAGGGUAUAGAGGGGGCGAGAGAUAAAACGAUCGAGCAAUUAAGGCGGCUCUUCUUUUGGAAGAUUUUCUCCUCAUCGUGGACUCGCACGAAUGGCGGCGAAUGCUCGAUUUCUCUUCCAGGAUUGGUUUUAAAAUUAAUGCUGUUUCUCCGUUUCGGCUCCUAAUGGCUUCUGGGAGGAGCCCUGCGAGAACCAAUCGCCUCCUGCAGUCAACCUGCCUUGAAGUGAAAGCACGACAUCCACGAAACGAUGUCGGUCAUACGGUGCAAAGAUGCUAAUGACAAUGGAUCCACCGAUGAUUAAUUAGAUAACAAUAAGAGGCAACGUGAUGAUGCAAUAAAGCUAUAUAGAAAUAACGAGGCCAUGCGCAUAAAUUGUGGAGAAAUAUAAGUGCGUCCAUCAAGAUUGUCUUUCCCGAUAAGGAGAUUUCAUUCUCAAUAAGCGUACACUCUAGUUUUAUACUUGACAACUCACUUGCUUUACUGCUUGUAUAUAAUUAUUGCACGGGUAGUAAAAGAAAAGAGAGCAAGUUUGUUAUCCGCUUAUAGUUGGUUACUCUAAUGAGGCAAUCAUCUUCUUUCACCGAGACGAAAUCACCUGUCAGCUAGUCAUCGACGGCAGCUGCGCCAGAUUGAUCCUUGGAAUAUAGUUUCCGAAAUAAGACGAGCGUUAAUACGACGGUUUAAUUAGAACUCCGAUAUUUAAUAUAGAUAUA